UACGUAGGUGGCAAGCGUUGUCCGGAUUUAUUGGGUUUAAAGGGUGCGUAGGUGGUCUAUUAAGUCAGUGCUGAAAUACUCCCGGCUUAACCGGGAGGGUGGCAUUGAUACUGAUGGACUUGAGUGGAGUCGAGGUAGGCGGAAUUGACGGUGUAGCGGUGAAAUGCUUAGAUAUCGUCAAGAACACCUAUUGCGAAGGCAGCUUACUAGGCUCUAACUGACACUGAUGCACGAAAGUGUGGGGAUCAAACAGGG
rnacentral:rRNA from 1 species